UCCAACUCUACUCAUGGUUCAGGAAGAGUCAGGGCGAGGAAAAGGAUGAACUUGUGUCCAAGCAUCAAAACCACACAGUGUACUCAAACCAGCCAGGAGUCUACUACUGCGUCGCAGAAAAUGAAGUAAACCAAAGUUUGUCUGAUCCCGUCCAUCUGUUUGAACGAAACUAUCUGCACAUCCUGAAGUUCCUCGUUCCUGCUCUAUUUGUCCUGAUGAUUAUCAUUUUAAUCAUCGUAGUUUUAAGAUACAGGAGGAAGAAAUCUAUUCAACAAGGAACAACAACCACCGAAUCCCCU